CGCGCAGGCGGCCGAUCAAGUCAGGCGUGAAAGCCCCGGGCUUAACCUGGGAAUUGCGCUUGGGACUGAUGGGCUAGAGUUCGGGAGAGGAGAGUGGAAUUCCCAGUGUAGAGGUGAAAUUCGUAGAUAUUGGGAAGAACACCGGUGGCGAAGGCGGCUCUCUGGACCGAUACUGACGCUGAGGCGCGAAAGCGUGGGGAGCAAACA
rnacentral:rRNA from 1 species